rnacentral:lncRNA from 1 species
UAGGUGGAGCCAUCCGGUGACUUGAAUAUAGCUGAAAACAAAAGAGGUGGUGGAAUGGAGAUAUCAAUCAGAAAUGACAAGCCCAAGAUUAUGCCAAGGCUCUCUGGUGCCUGCGAUGAUGGGCUCCCAUCAGCAGAAGGGCGACGGACAAGGGAUCUCUGAGCAGUCUGGUGGAUGCCAUGGCGGUGGUGGUGGAGGAGGUUCAUGCCAUGGUGGUGGUGGAGGAGGAUCCUGCCACUCCAGUGGGGGUGGAGGCUCUAUAGGAUACCAGAUCCAGGGAUCGUCCUGCCACAGUGGAGGAAGCAGCAGCAGUGGUGGUGCUAUCUACCAGACCCACAUAUCAUCAUCUUCCUUUGGAGGAGGAGGAGGAGGAGGAGGAUCUUCAGGCCACCAGAGCCAAGGAUCCAUCGGUGGUGGAAGUGGUGGUGGCGGUGGGUCAGGCCACCAAGGACAAGAACCCAUCUGCAUUAUUGGAGGAGGUGGCGGUGGUGGUGGUGGUGGUGGAGGAGGUUACAGCCACCAAAGCCAAGGCUCCGUCUGCAUUGGAGGUGGCAGCAUGGGUGGAGGAGGUGGAGGUGGUUCUGGCCACCAGGGCCAAGGACCCAUCUGCAUUAUUGGUGGAGGAGGAGGUGGUUCUGGCCACCAGAGUCAGGGACCCAUCUGCAUUGGUGGAGGUGGAGGAGGAGGAGGAGGUGGUUCUGGCCACCAGAGCCAAGGAUCCAUCUGUAUUAUUGGAGGAGGUGGUUCUGGCCAGAGCCAGGGUUCCUCUUCUUUUGGAGGAGGUGCUGGUGGAGGUGGUUCGUCGAGCUCUGGGGGUAUGUCCAUUCAGCAGCAGACCCAACCAAUCUCCUGGCCACCACAGACUAAACAUAAGUAGUGGCUUUAGAAGAGAACCUUGUAACAAGAAAGCCCAGAAUGUAAACAUGUCACAUUUAUUUCUUUCUCUAUUAAAUGUAAGAAUACUGGUGUGAUUUCUUUCUCCUCUUCAUUGGAAUAUUUCUCUUCACCUCUCCAGAUGACCAGAACCUCUGGUGGUGUGUAUCAGUAACUUGCGCCUUGAUGCAGGUUGUUUGAUAUGUCCAUUUUCUGCCUCGACUUUCUAACGCUUGCACAAGAUAAUAAAACUUGCCACUCUAGAGAGCUUCA